rnacentral:rRNA from 1 species
GAUAGAGGAUGCAAGCGUUAUCCGGAAUGAUUGGGCGUAAAGCGUCUGUAGGUGGCUUUUAAGUCCGCCGUCAAAUCCCAGGGCUCAACCCUGGACAGGCGGUGGAAACUACCAAGCUGGAGUACGGUAGGGCAGAGGAAUUUCCGGUGGAGCGGUGAAAUGCGUAGAGAUGGAAAGAACACCAACGGCGAAAGCACUCUGCUGGGCCGACACUGACACUGAGAGACGAAAGCUAGGGGAGCGAAUGGG